AUCUCGCGAGACUAAGGCUCAAGCGUGGCUAUCGGCCGGUUAGGACUUGCGGGGAAGAUGGAGUACCCCGCGUUGGGCGCCGCGGAGGCCGCGGACAGCGGAGGGGCCCGGCUAUACAACAGCUCGGAGGAGCGGGAGGGCCGGGAACCGGACGGGCUGCGCUUCGACCGUGAGAAGGCGCGCCGCCUGUGGGAAGCAGUGUCCGGGGCCCAACCAGUGGGGAGGGAGGAAGUGGAGCACAUGAUCCAGAAGAACCAGUGUCUCUUCACCAAUACCCAGUGUAAGGUUUGCUGCGCCUUGCUCAUUUCUGAGUCCCAGAAGCUGGCACACUACCAGAGCAAAAAACAUGCCAACAAAGUGAAGAGAUACCUAGCAAUCCAUGGAAUGGAGACAUUAAAGGGGGAAACGAAGAAGCUAGACUCAGAUCAGAAGCGGCUGUACAAAUGUCAUUGGAUGAAAAGUCAGCAGACUAAGAAGAGCAGCAGAAGCAAAGACAAGAACCAGUGCUGCCCCAUCUGUAACAUGACCUUUUCCUCCCCUGUCGUGGCCCAGUCGCACUACCUGGGGAAGACCCACGCAAAGAACUUAAAGCUGAAGCAGCAAUCCACUAAGGUGGAAGCUCUGUCGAAACGCCUUACAAACCCUUUCCUUGUGGCCUCCACCUUAGCCCUGCACCAGAAUAGAGAGAUGAUAGACCCAGACAAGUUCUGCAGCCUCUGCCACGCGACUUUCAACGACCCUGUCAUGGCUCAGCAACAUUAUGUGGGCAAGAAACACAGGAAACAGGAGACCAAGCUCAAACUCAUGGCACACUAUGGGCGGCUGGCAGACCCUGCUGUCACUGACUCAUCAGGAUCAGUCCCAUAUGCUGAGGAAUCUGGAAACUUCGGAACCAAGCUCCUCAGAACCCCGCUUCACAAGAUGCUUCUAUUUUGGCCUGCGACUGAUAGGAACAGCAUAGCAUCCAGCUGGCACGACCCAAGCCGGGAAGGGCUACCCCUGCAAGACAUGUAAGAUAGUGCUGAACUCCAUAGAACAGUACCAAGCUCAUGUCAGCGGCUUCAAACACAAGAACCAGUCACCAAAAACAGUGGCAUCACCCCUGAGCCAGAUUCCAGUGCAAAGGCAACCUAUUCAGAAAGACUCAGCCACCUUGGAAGACUAGAGGUGUUUGUGUCUAGCACCCCAGGUUGAACCAGCCAUGAGCCACCUUCCUGUGACUGUGGUCAGCCCUUGGCUCCCUCUCCCUCCUUUCUUACAUCCGGAGAAUAUAUAGGCCUGAGGCAGGAGUGGGCCACAGACAGCCUCUGAUUGGUCCAGGCAAAUCCACCCCUGCUCCUUCGCUUAGAACAGGCCCUGUAGUCAGGACAAGGGAAGCACAGAUCUUGAGGUCUCAAGUGGUAGUAUGAAGGAUGGCCUUUCCCCUUCCCCAGCCCCUGUGGGCCAUAUGUCAUGAGGCCCCAGGCCUGUCUUUCCUCUGCAGGUCAGUUUUGAACCAGUCCCUGCAGCUAAAGAGCUGAGCUCUCCCUAGGCUCUAGGCAUGUCCAUUGAAACCUGGAGCUUUCAUACCAGACCUUGGCGUAGGCAAGAAAGGGCAGAUGGAAGUGGCUGCCGCAUGGAAACUAAUGUGGCACCCCGCUUCUCCCAGAAAGUACAGGCUUUUCUGAGCCUGGAACCAGAUGCUGGCCAGUUGUACAGAUUUGUGUCCACUGUGAGAUCUCCUCCUGCAGCAAUGACACAGUCCUGGCAGAGCAUUGCUGCUCCUCCUGCCCCUUCUCCACAGUUCCUGAAUGGUGCUAAGGAUCUGCAGCAGCUGGGAAUAAGAUAGAACUGUCGGAGGCCUCAGUACCCAGUGGGAUCCUGCUCCAAUGGGGUUCUCUCCCCUUCUCCAUCAGAGGUGCUCUGACCCAGGGUCAUGUGGGAAAAUCCCCACAUACAGGUUUCCUUGAUGGUUCUGGGCCGCUAAAGGCAAACUGCCUCAUGCCAGCCACCUCAGAGGCUGGUUGCUGCCCUCGGCCCGCUAGCCCUCCCCCUCGUGCAGCAGACCGCCUGCCUAGGUUGCUGUGGUGCUAGUCCUCCCCCGUCAUCCACCGGGAAGCUCCUGAGUGCCGGGGAGCGGGAUGGGCCCCGGGAAAGAAAGGAGAGCUGAUGCCAUGAGGAAGCAUAUUCCCCAGGCCCCAAACCUAGAUUUCUCCAGCUCUGCUGUGUUCUAUGGCCUAGGACUUCACUGGGAGUGGAUUUUUCCUUGUAACUUUCAAACAGGAAUUCUAGGGAGUGGCACCAUCAGAGGUCCCUCCUCACUGGGUCAGAGAGUCCCUAGCUGCUCUCGUGGCCUCCCUCCCCCUCCCUUCACCUGUGAAAUGCCUUUACGUACCGUGUGUGGGUGGGUGUGCGUUGCUUAUGCUCUGUCUCUUGGUUACUGAAGCAUCUAAAUAAAGAAUUUCUCCCAUGAGCCAGACUGCAACUUAACAGACCUGGGAUUUGGGGCCAUAUUACCAUUGGAUCUAGUAUGUGUGUAUUGACCCCUCACCCCGUUCAGACUCCCAGGGCCCUAAAUACUGAUCUUAGGACUUAGGAUGGAGACAGACAUCCAAAUUUCUUGGCAACCCUGUGUUGACGUUUUUCCAGGUGUGCUAAACUCAAUACCACGUUAUCCGCUCAUCUACCUCCCCCUGUCACAGAGGGCCUCAUGGAGAUCUUUAGAAGGUUUAAGCUGGGAAUCUACCUUGUUUGAGCGGCUCAUUCUGGCUGCUAUGUGGAGAAGGAAUGCAGGAAAGGAGGCAGGGAGGCCAAAAUGGAGGCUGUGUCCAAUAUAGCUCUCUAGGCCAACCCCUUCAAGGCAGAGACCUAGCCUCAUUCCUUUCCACCUUCCUGAUGUCCAAAGUGGUGUGUCAUGAAGUGUGUGUUGAAUGAAUGAACAUGGGUGCAUGAGAAGAGAUGGCCUUUUCCUGCUCGGCUCUUACACAGCAAUAGGUUUGUUCUGUGAGACUUAUAAACCUAGUGAUUCUUGGAAGAACCUUUUCCAUGACCCAGAAGUGAGCUAGGAAAGGAAGUGAGUGUGAUGGCCUCAGGAGCCCUUUGUUUCAGACAGCCAGAUCUGAGGAAGGUGCCCAGGCAGCCUCAGCUCCCAUUCUUCCCUCAGCAGAAUGUUCUUGGGCACCUUCUCUUGGCCAGCUGGAAAGGCCCCACAACAACCCCCGGGGUGGGUUCUCAGCUGUCAGCUUCCAAAGCCCAGACUGCCUCCCAAAGUUCCCCAGAGUCCUACUCCACCUAGGAUGUUAGAAUCAGCCCUAUCUACCAGGCAAGGAAGGAAAGGGCAGAGGGGUGGGUAGGCUGCCAAACUGUGAGCCCUUGGCUUGCGGGACCUCAUAGUCUGGAUUCAGGAGUCCUUGCUAACUGUGUGCUCAGCCCUGUUGGCAUGGGCACACAGGGAUGAACAGUUUCUUGCCCUUGGGGAGUUCACACACUGUUAAAGAUCAUUGUGGUGAUGGUGAAAGGGUUAUAGAGGGCGCUGUGGGAAUGCCCAGGAUGCAGGCACUAACUCAGCCAAGGAUAUGAAAAAGCUGGAAAAGUUGGGAAACAAGCAUUUGAUCUGCAUAACAACCUUUAGAGCUGGGUGAUGAUAUUCCAUUUUAUAGAGAAGGAACAAGGCUCAGAGACGUGUAGUGAUUUGCCCAAGCUCUUGACACUAAGAAGGGGCAAAAUGGAGAGUGGAAUCCGGUUCACUAGAUUCCUAGUCCAGAACCCUUUCCAAACAAGGACAAGAGUCCUUCCCACGUGACCCCUAGGUCUGCCUCGCCCAUCUCCUGGCAGGGCCAUGGACUCACAGAGCGAGCAGCCACUCAGGGCAGAGGCAGCAGCAGCACCCACAAAACAGAUUGGACAAAGGACAAGCCCCAUCGCCAAGGCGUUAGGUCUGCACACUCCACCUUGGCGGCCCAGGGUUUCACUGGUUCAGAUCCUGGGCGUGGACAUGGCACCACUCAUCAGGCCAUGCUGAGGUGGCGUCCCACGCAGCACAACCAGAGGCACUCACAACUAGAAUAUACAACUAUGUUCUGGGGAGCUUUGGGGAGAAGAAGAAGAAGAAAAACAAAAGGUUGGUUGGCAACAGAUGUUAGCUCAGGUGUCAAUCUUAAAAAAACCAGAUCAGAUGAGGCUCAAUGGUUAUUUUAUAUCUCAAGCCCCGCACACCUCUCAUAAUUUUACCCAAGAUUCCCAGUGUGUUAUACUCUAGUUAUAACUGUAAGAAACUUACAUCAAAGUGAUUGGCUAAAAAAGGAAAUGUAUUGGUUCACUCAAUGAAAACUGCCUGUACAGGGAUGGCUAGAUCCAGGUCUGACACAGUGUCAUCAGGAAGAAUUCCAUGUUGCUCUACUUUCCUCUGUGUGGCCUCUCUCCAGGCUGCAGACUCUCUCCAGAAAGAAGCAACAUGGCCACUGGCAGCACCAGCCUUAUAUCCUGAUAGAUUGGCAACUGCGGUGGAAAGACCCUCGUUUUCUACUCUUUUCAACAAAAGAUUCUGGGAUUGACUCAUUAGCCAGCUUAGUCCUGUUCUCUUCUCUAAGCCAAGUCACUUGCAGCUAGGAAAUGGUGCUCUGAUUUGGGGCCUAGGAAGGAAUGAGCUCCACCUACAACAUGUUGAGAGAGAGAGGCGUGCCUAAAAGAAGGAAGUAUGGGGCUCCUUCCAGACUAAGGGAGAAGAAUGGACGUGCGUGGGCGAAAAUAACUCUUGUCAGGCGUACCCAGAAAUUGUCUUUAUUUAACCAUUUCUUUUUUCCCCUAACUUGUUGAAAUACAGCGUACAUUUAGCCAUGUGUGCCAACUUUUAGAGUGCAGUUUGAUGAAUCCUCACAUGCGUACACAUCCGGACAGUCACCCUCCAGGCACCCUCCCGCUCCCCAGAAGUUUCCCUUGUUCCACUUCCUAGUUAGCAUCCCCCGGAAAUAAACACUAUUUUGACCUCUAUCACCAUAGAUUAGUUUUGCUUGCUCUUAAAUUUUAUAAAAAUGGAAUCAAACAUACAUCCUCUUUUGCUCAAUAUUAUGUCUUUGAGAUUCAUCCAUGUUAUUGUGUGUAUCAGAAGUUCAUUUUUUAAUGCUGUGUAGUAGUAGAAUUAUAUUCUACUGUUGAUGGACAAUUGGGUUGUUUCUAGUUUUGAACUAUUAUAAAUAAAUCUGUGGUGAAAAA